rnacentral:lncRNA from 1 species
UCAGGGCCUGUUUCACGAAAGUACAAAUUUGUUAACAACAAAUAAAUUACUUGUCCUGAACUACUUAUUGCGUUUCACGAGGUUACAAGUAUACACUUGUAGCUACAAGUAAAUUUUUCACAAGUUACCAACAAUUUUAUUGUAGCCAACUACUUUACAAGUGGUCGCCUACAAUUGUAAUCUACAAACUUGUACUUAAGACUUGUUACUUACCAAAGAUUUUCUACCUAUCCUUCUAGUAUUGUAAAAUCUUCUUACAAAAACCAGCACACUUAUCACUAGUGUUGUCUUGGGGAAAAUGUGGAGUAGUAGUAGUAGUUCGGAUGAUGAUAAUCAGCCACGCAGGAGGAGGAGACAAUUUAGGAAAAGGAUAAACACUACUUUUCAAACAGUAUAUGAAUUUAAUGAGCGAUUCCGAAUGUCGUCUUUAAAACUUGAACACCUUGCUACAGACAUCGGUCGUAAGUUAUUCCAUUCAACUAAUAGAAGUGAAGCACUGUCUGUCA